rnacentral:rRNA from 1 species
AGUGAACGCUGGCGGUAGGCCUAACACAUGCAAGUCGAACGGCAGCACAGUAAGAGCUUGCUCUUACGGGUGGCGAGUGGCGGACGGGUGAGGAAUACAUCGGAAUCUACUUUUUCGUGGGGGAUAACGUAGGGAAACUUACGCUAAUACCGCAUACGACCUACGGGGGAAAGCAGGGGAUCGUCGGACCUUGCGCGAGUGAAUGAGCCGAUGUCGGAUUAGCUAGUUGGCGGGGUAAAGGCCCACCAAGGCGACGAUCCGUAGCUGGUCUGAGAGGAUGAUCAGACACACUGGAACUGAGACACGGUCCAGACUCCUACGGGGGGCCGCAGUGGGGACUAUUAGACAAUGGGCGAAAGCCUGAUCCAGCCAUACCGCGUGGGUGAAGAAGGCCUUAGGGUUGUAAAGCCCUUUUGUUGGGAAAGAAAAGCAGCACGUUAAUACCCCGCUGUUCUGACGGUACCCAAAGAAUAAGCACCGGCUAACUUCGUG